rnacentral:rRNA from 1 species
GGGGAAUCUUGGACAAUGGGGGCAACCCUGAUCCAGCGAUGCCGCGUGAGUGAAGAAGGCCUUCGGGUCGUAAAGCUCUUUAGGUUGGGAAGAAGGUUAGUGGAGGAAAUGCUAUUAACUUGACGGUACCGACAGAAUAAGCACCGGCAAACUCUGUGCCAGCAGCCGCGGUAAUACAGAGGGGGCGAGCGUUAAUCGGAUUUACUGGGCGUAAAGGGCGCGUAGGCGGUUAAAUGAGUGUGGGGUGA